rnacentral:lncRNA from 1 species
CAGAGGGACAAGACGAUGACCGCUUCCAGCAGUGGCAUCUCUUUGGCCUGGCUGGCUCCCUGGUGACAAGGAGUAGAGACAGAUGUGAAAUUUCAAAGAAGUACUGAUGAUAAUCCGGAGUCGUCCUCCAGGCUGGGUGCUACGCAUCUUGGAUUUCUCAUCUCAUCAUCUCACACCAGUCGCUGGGGUGGGAGCACCUCUGCUCCCCAGAAGACAACUCUGGAGAUGCUCCCGCUGACCUCCUCCUCUGACCUCACAGUCGGGGCCCCCGGGGUCUAUGCAAACUCUGGCCUUUGUUGUUGUUGCCAUUUUACCGCAUUUCUCAUGACUGUCAGUUUCUCUCAAGGCUUUGAAUUGUGAAAUUUGGUCCCUGGAUUCAAACAAUAGUAUUUUCAUUGGUUCCUUGGCGAUACUUUUUGUAGUUUACUUUAUCUUUUUUAGAUUCAGAAGGCUUCACCGACUGUUUUCUAAAUACCCUAUAUCUUGUCUACAUAACUCUAUGUAGUUACUGCCUCCUGAACAGAGUCUCUGUACCACAGAAAUCUCCUUUUUAACUAAAUAAAAAAGGGCACAGCCUUGGCA